rnacentral:lncRNA from 13 species
UGUAUUGGAUAAUGACAACCCGGAAGUGCCGUGUUGAUUUUCCUUCCCUCCCUCCCUGUCAAUAGGGUUGCCAUUGGAAGGCAUCCUUACUGCCACAUGUGAGCAUGGCACAGGAAAUCACACCACUGCCAUAGCCCUGCAGAGUGGCAGUGAAAGGAUUGCUGCUGUGUUUGGACUGGCCACAGAGCCUCCAAAAUCCCAGCUAUCUGUGAGCUUAGAGCACAACAUCUCAAAGAUAAAGAAACAUGGGAUUCCUUUUUUUGUAGAAGCUGCUGCCUAUUAUGAGAAUUUCUCCAGAAAGAUUGCUGCAGGGAUAACAACCACUGUGGAGACAGAGCAGCUCAAAAUUGAAAUAGAGAAGAAAACCACUGGCAUUGCUAUGGAAAUUUCUCUUUCAUUUCACCAUGAUGUGAGAGGACUGAUGGACAUUGUUCCACGUGUACUGGAGGUUUGCAGAAAUCCUGCCGAAUGUCGUAAUAUAUUUAGUGCACUAAACACUGAACUGUUUAUCUUUUUGAAACUGAACUUUAACCUUUAAUCUUAAAUCUGUGUUUUGGAACCUUCAUCCAUUUGAUCCUUAAAGCAGCCCUGUAACUUGCUCCUUUGAAUUUUAGUCCUACCUGCUUUUCUUCGUGCUCUGAAUGUGCUUUGUUGACAACGUCAACAGGUUGCUUGCAGUGGAGAAUCUGCUAACAAACAACUUUCUGGCCUUUGCAAUGGUGCAAUUGCAUUUCAUCAUUUUGAGACUCCAGCAAGAGUUUCACUGAAUGGGUCAAUAUUUACCAGCAACUUUACUGUCAUCUUCUUUGGACAUGUUUCUUUUCAUGACCUGUUUGCCUGCCUGCAACUCUGUGCCACCACUAACACCCAGCCUCAUUUAGAAAUCGACUUCCAGCAUUCUUUGCCUUCACUUCAUUCUUUGGGAAUUGCCAGAGAGAACCAACUGAAGAUGUCAGCCAUGAUAAGUGACAAGUACAAGGGCAUCCUUGGUAUUGUCCUUGGGCCUUGCACUUUGGAAGUUGAUGGAGAAGUGAGCCUGGCAAGCAAUGAGACAGGAUGGAUACUUGCUCUUAGAAACAAGUGCAUCAGUCUAGAGAGGAUGGGAUUGCCUCGUGCUGCAGUCUUGGGGGGCUCAUUUCGACAGAACAUCUGCAACGUGGGCUUGUUAAUGAACCUGCAAUGUGAUGGCAGAGCAGUGGAUGUGCAGAUAGACACCUCCUGCAAGCAUGAAUAUACACUCCAAGGGAUGCUCAAGCAUUCACUUCCCUGGCUCAGCCAGCUUGGGCUGCCUUUUGAAAACUCUGUCUUGUUCUCUGCAGCCACAGACUCCACCACAGAGGGCAUUUUCCUGCUGCAGGCUGGCAGAUGCACACUGACGGCUAGAGGGGAUUUCUCUAUUCAGAAUAAAGCUGACUGGACACUGGAAACAGAAACAGACUGUCAACUUCUGCAGGAUCUCAGUUUCCCAACUCAGUCACGGCUCACAGGAUCCAUUCAGAAAGACAAGUGCCAGGCAGAGCUUCUCUCUGUCCUGGAAACAGAAGGCAAAAGUGCCCAUCUUGAAGUAAGAGCAGAGUGCAAGCCAAGGAUUACUCUGAAAGUUCAAUUCAGGCAUGAUGUCCCCCAGCUGAAGGAAAUCCCAAGGGAAAAUGAGCUGUCCAUCACUGCAUGGAAACACUCAAAAUAUCUUAUUGGAAUUGGGAUGAAAUUGGGAGCCUGUGAGAUUCAAAUGAAUGGGGACUUUGACCCUGAAAAGAACCUUCAGUGGAAAAUACUUAUAGAAAACCAGUGCCAAACAAUUCAGGAUCUUGGAACACCAAUGAAAAUUGAUGGUUCAGGCUACCUUUUAAUGGAUAAAAUGAACCUAGAUUCACAGACAUUGAUCACUGUUGAUAAAAGUAAAUUCCGAGGACUCCUUAUACUAAAAGUCACUAAUGAAAGGCAAGAGUUGGAUGUGGUGCUAACCCAUAACAUUCAAGGAGCGGCUGACAUUGGCAUUCCCAUGAGGGUGUUACUUGAUGUGAUAUCAGAAAAAAACACUGACUUCUAUAAAGGAUUUAUUCAUUUCUGUGUGAACAGCAAGCAAAUUACAGAAGAACUGAAUUUUGUCCAGAAGUUGGAUGUUGUGUCUCUUAACUACAAACUUGCUCAUAACAUAGAGACAUUGAAGACUUUGCAAAUAAAAGACAGGAUUGAGUUUCAGACUAUCUUGAACCUCAAAGUGACCAGGAGCUUUAGUUUGAAAGUACUUUAUGGCACUCACUUAACAACUCUUGAAGGACAAAUCCAGGAGUUUGAAACAAGUACCAACAUAACAGGGAACUUCCAUCACACUUUGCCAUGGCUGCUACAAGCCAGAAUCCCAUCAACUUUACAGGUAGAUGUGGUUUUUCAAGGGAGAACCACUACUCAAGAGAGAUAUGUGCACAUUGCAGCUGGAGAAACAUCAAUAACAUACAUAAUAAACUCCUAUUAUGUUGGCCACCAAGUGGAUAUCUUCUGCCAGAGUGUGCACAGCAGUGAGGUUCUCCAAGCAUCUGGCUACCCUAAGGCAAUCAACUUGAUUCUCAGUUUACAGAAAUCAGAAAACAAAGCCAAGACUAUCUGUGAAAUCCAAUAUGACGAGAAAGAUGUAGCUGUGACUGUGGAUGUUGACACAGACUUUGAACUCUUUGGUAUAUUUGUGUUCAUGGCAGAGGUAAAGCACUCAGUAUCACUUUUCCAUCACCUGGGACUUCCCUUCUUUUUUAAGAUAACAAUUCAAGAAGUCAUGACUGGAAAUGAAACCAAAGGAGCUCUGAGGCUGACCUAUGAACAACACACAAACUUCUCCUUUUCCAUCAGUAGAAAAAAAGACCAGCAAGGUGAAGAGUUGAAUAUAAAAGCACUCCAGACUCAUCCCUUCUUUCUACCGUACUUCCCCUGUGCAGCAGAACUGUCUUCUAAGGUAAAUUAUGAUAUGAGUGAAGCAAAAGGCAAACUCCACCUCAGGAUGGAAAAAAGGGAUUUCAAUAUUUCAGCAAACCUAACUUUCACUGGAGCCAGCUACAGUAAUGCCAUUGAAGUGGCACAGACCAUGGCCCAGUUUAAAAUUCUUCCAAGGCAACUUGUAUUUAUGACAAUUUACCAAAAAGGCAACAGAACACGUCUGCUGAGGCACAUUGCCCUGUGGGAUGGCAAAGAGAUAAAGCUAACAGGCACUUACACUGGACUCUUCCCAAAGCUGCCUGGAGGUCAUGGCAUUCAGGUGGAACUUCUCCAUCCUCUCUCCAUCCCUUUUCCAUGGUAUGCCAGGGUCAACUUAUAUGUGAAACAUUCGGCACGCAGUCACCGGGAUGAUCUUACUGUUGCUUGGAAUGAGAAGGACAAGAUAUCAGUGUCGUCUUCUCUGAAGUUUGGAAGACACUGGACAAGCUACAGAGCCACUGCUGUGCACCCAUUUAAUUACACUCUGAAGCAACUGGAGGUGCAUUCUCUGUCAGAAAGAAGGGGCAGAAAGUACAACCAGCAGCUGCAGGUCUCAGGAAAUGCUGGGCAGCCUGCUCACCUCCAGCUGAGCCUGGAGGAUAAAUCCAGGAUGGACAUCACUGCCUGGGGUGGCUGUGUGACACUCACUGCAGGUCAGCUUCAGAGAAUAGUAAGCAUGGAACACCUGCAUGCAUGCGGGUCUCUCGAGCAAAGACCUACAUUAUUUAAUGAAUACCUCGAUCUGAACUGGGAUGACAAAAAAUUCAAACACAAUUUCACAUAUGAGAGAAAUCAACUCUUGUAUCCUGAUAAGUUUCAGUUAGAAGCUGUUCUGGAAAAUAUUUUCCUGACCCCAUGUACCAAACAGAAGAUUCUGAGUAAAAUAGAAACAAACUACUGCUCUUGCCUGGAUUACUAUACAAGCUUUGAGUUCUGUGACCUUCCAAAUGUAAUUGUUUUAUCUGGAAAGCACCAGCUCAACAAAGAUGACAUCAUUUUGCAGUCAGAGGGCAGAUUCCACCUUGCUGGUCACGGGAGAGAUGAGGGGUUGAUUGGAGUAUCCAUAAAGAAUCAGAGCACUGCUGAUGUGAAGAAUUAUUCUUUGGAAAUUGAAUUAAGAGCCUUUGAAGAUAUUUCGCUAGGCCUGACAGGAACUGCUGCUUCCUCAUCUGUCCAGAGCCAAAUCCUGGUGGAGGGGAUUAUUGAUCAGAAAGAGAAAGUAAAAAUAGCUGCUUCAAAAGACAAGGAGUGUUUUCAGUACUACAUGGGCUAUCUGAAAGGGGAUUUGGAAGAAGGAAUGGACGUCAGUGCUUGUUCUGAUGGGCAACAAAUGGCUGUCAUUAACACCUAUCUCAGCAUCAAUGGUGAAAGGCAGGAAAACGUCGGACAAGUGGCUCUAGCAGCCGCUAAUGGAAGCUUGAGUUUUCUAGCGCAUGGAUGUGGAGAUCCAGUUCUUAAGGCUGAGAACAAGCUUAAUGAAAUUGGGAGCCUUUUGAAAGCCAAACUGAUAGAGAAGAUAAAGAAGUUUGAUGGAAACCUGUGGAGAUUCAGGAGAUCAGUGCAGCAUGUUGGUUUCCUGUCUGAAGCAGCUGGCUGGCCUUCAGCGGCCUUGCAAAGGGCAGCAGCAUUCCUGCACAGUGUGGGUAGAGCUGUCACCCAGGCGUGGAAGCAAAGUGGCAUUGGGCACGUUCUGAGAAGAAAGAUCCCGCUUUAUCUGGAGAAAAUUCAAGACAUUGUCCAGCAAAUGCUGAAUGAAUUACAAAAGCCAUUAGCAACUUUGAAGGACGCCUACUACGAUGUAACCUUGAAGCCACUGGAUGAAGUCUGGAAAGAGAAGACAGAAGAGCACAUGAAGAAAAUCCAGGCUUUCUUGCCCAAGAUUUUAAAAGAUGUGUGGCUAAUGGAAUCAAUCCAGGUGGCAUUAAAGGUUGUGAAAGCAAGCUUGGAUAUGGCUACACAGCAGGUGCUCAGGUGGGCAGAGGCCAUGUUUUCCAGAGCUGUGAGCAAGAUUCGGAAGCCCUUGCUGAACCUGUACAGUUUUUCACCCAGGAACUGUUCCGUGGCAGGAAAACUGCCAGUACUGCCUAAAGCAGACCUGUCCCUGCAGCUGGCAAAUGUUACUACUUACCUCAUUGGAGAAAAACUAAUGAGGCCUCUGCAAGACCUCUACAAUCUCAACAUCCUUGCAGAGUACUAUAGAUUCAAACGGAGGAUGAUGGAGAGCCCCUUUGAACAUCAUGCUAUGUUAGUGGGGACCAAGCAUCUUGUGACUUUUGAUGGAAAAAUGUAUGAUUUGGCAUCAAAGUGCAGUGUACUUCUUGCCAAGGAUUUUGUUCACAAUGCUUUCACUGUAAUACUAAAUGAGGAAACUAGGAACUCAAGAUCACUGUAUGUGAAGAUGAACCAGACUGUGAUGAGUAUCUACCCACGACUAAAGAUAUCCAAGAUGUAUAACUUCUCCUUUACGGAAGAGAACUGCCAAGUACUGGAUCAAUCCCUUGAAAAUAGUACCAUGAAUUCAAGGCGAGGAACCAACAAAAUAGAAAUAUCUGAUCACAAAGGAGUUUCUGUUUCUUGUGACUUUCAGUAUGAUCUCUGUACUGUCACUCUGGCUGGGUGGCACCACGGUAUUUCAGCUGGGCUUUUUGGUACCAAUGAUAAUGAAGCUGGAAAUGAAUGGAUGGUGCCUAAUGGUUCCUUCACUGACAAUGUGCAGGAGUUCACACACAGCUGGCAGGUGAACAAGUGCAGUCUUGCACCAAAGAAAGAGAAGCCAUGUCCAAUUACAGAGAAGCAAAACAUCUGUAAAGUGUUUUUUGAAGAACCACAUUCACUUCUUAGGAACUGCUUCAAAGUUGUGGAGCCCGAGCCAUUCUACACCAUGUGUACACAGGACACCUGUGACUCCCCAGCCUUGGGGGCUGCCUGCACCAUAGCAGCAGCUUUUGUUCAUUUGUGCAACCGGAAUUUUGUCCCUGUGGAAAUCCCUCCACAGUGCUUGAGCCAGUUCUGA